AUAUUUGCUUCAGUACCAGAUUUGCUUUACUACAUCAUGUCCUUACUCUGUACCUGUACUUGACUCCAGGGGCUGGUUUAUGGUAUUCAAGGUCAGGAAAUUUGUAGAAUGAAUUUAGAUCCUUAUGUCUGCAGAGAGAGGUAGAAGUGAUUCUAUUGCCUGUACAAUUUUGAAUCUUGUAGGACAAUAACAUUCUUGGUCCAACUUUAUCAGUGGCUGACUUGCUUGCUAAGGAGAGUAUCAAUCAGUCUAAUGUCUCUGCACUCUUUAUAGAUCUCCUGCUUUGGUGACUGAGGCAUUAUUAGAUGAUAUUGGUGUUCCAAGGCCUAGGAAAUUUAGAAUUGGCCAGGUUUUCUGAUAGAGAGAUUUUGUGGGAUUGUAGCUCUUUGAAGGAGAAUAAUGGCUUCAAGGCUGGUGUUGGCUGUCACUUUUGUGCUUGAUCUUAUUGCCUUUGCUCUUGCUGUGGCUGCUGAGCAGAGGAGGUCUACUGUAAGCAAUGCAGGCGAAAGCAAAUCAAGAACAUUACCGACAAAAUGUUUGAUCAUUUCAAAAACAAGAUAGGAAGAGCAUAUAUUAAAUUUGAGGAUGGGCAAGUUUUAGACCUCUUUUUCGUUCUUGCCUCUCAUUUCAUUUUGAAGGCCUUUUUUGUUAUGGCUUGAAGAAUAGUUUAUCAACAUUGGAUUAAUUUGAGUUGUUGAAUACAAUGGAAAAUUUUAUAAAAUGCACAUUUUCUUUGUCUA